GUUUGAGGAGGUUCCAGUAAGAAAAGGGGCUCAAGUGCAGUAAGGAAGAGGGUCAUGUCCAAGGAUAUAAUGAGAACUUUAUUUUUAUAUAGAUCUAAUAGGUAUUAGUUCAAAUUUGAAGGAACAGAUUUUUUUUUAUCAAUUCCAUCUUCUGUUCAAAUGAAAACUAUUGUGCUACUUUUUAUAUCUAUUUGAAAGCUAGGGCAAAAUGGCAGUUGGAAAGCUAACAGUUCUUAUUUGCAAAUCUGUGAGUCUAAUUCUGCUACCUGUUGGAUUAAAACCAAUAUAUGUUCACUACAAUGAUAUGUUAUAUAGUUCAAACCUUGAUCAAUGGAAUGAGAGGAAGUUGGAUGGAUGUUGGAUAACAUCCAGGGUUUGCAAUAAGUCGUGCAUUUCGGAUUUCAUCCCUCGAAACUUCUGUCAGCCCAUAUAUGGCCUCCUUCUGUAUCAACAAGGAAAAACAUUAGCAAGAAUUUCAAAAGAUAUGCAAUGAUAAAGCUUAAAUAGCACCACUAUCCAUCUUGCACAAAGGAAAAGCAGAAACAAGAAAAUCACAAAAACUUGCCUAUAGAUGGGAAGAACAAUAUUGAACCAAGAAUAUAUUGGUCAGACCAGCUAAGAAGUUAACCCAUUGUAUGCAAGGAGGUCAAGAUCGUGCAACAACAUAAUAACAGAUGAGGUUCAUACUAGAUCAAUGGACCAAAUACAUUUAGAAUUGAACAUUACCUUAAAGAAAUACAAAUGCAACCUUGGGAAAAAACCAAAAGGAAAGAACCUAAUCAGUACAGCUGACCUCCUUUUUUUUCCAAUUUUCAUAUUGAAUUUAGAAUUGGAGUCAACAAUCUGCAGCACAUAUAGGUUGGCCAGAAGAGAUUACUAAAUUUCAUCCAAGGGAAGGAACUUAAUAUCGAUUAAGAUAAAAUCUAACCUAGACUCUUAGAAAUAUUGCCCAUUGUUCAUGCAAAUGCUCGGUACAGGGCAUAUAAUUUCACUAGGUAAUACUGUCAGUCAUAGUUUUAUCAAAAGUCAUUUAAAAACAGCAACAGCCCAACAACUAUAUCUUCAAGAGGUCUUGGAUUUUUUCCACAUAUACCUCCUGAUUGCCAAGCUCAUGGUGCAAUGAAGUGGUGAACCAUAAAUCUCCUUCCAAAUAUGUAAAUACAGUAAUGAAAUUGAUACUCAUACAGCCCAGUAUUGUAAACAAAUUGAUUCUCAUAAGUGCAUAGACUAGUCUGCUUUACUAAGGAAACGAGGACCUCAAUUACUGCAGUGUUCCACUAAAGUUACUGUGAACAAAAUGAUAAAUUAGAGGAUCCAAUUAUGAUCUUGAGUAAGGACCAGGAAGUUUGACAUUGCGAAGAAAGAAAAAAGGAAAGGAGUACCUAAAAGUCACGGAAAUGCAUAUAUGAAAAUUUCGCUACUUCAGAUUAUGUUCAUUUUUUAUAACUAAGUUCAUGCAUUCUCAUUUCUUUUCCUGCACUUUCCUUUUUAAGCUUCGAUUCCUCCAUGACAAAGAUAGCAAAUCAUGUCUUAUCAUCAAAAUAUGCCAUUUGGACCCAAAGCUAGAAAAAUAAAAGGAGACAGCUGAGGUGUCACUUGUAUAAGCACCUGAAGCACUGGUUCACAGAUACAGCCAGUGAACAAGUUGAAGAAGACAGGAAAAUCUAUUACCAGCAAGCUCCGUUGGCUGUGAAGUUGGUCAUUAUGGAUCAAACUGGUGACCAAUGAGAUCUACCUCUUGACUUGAUAAUAAUCAUCUUGAUCGAUGCUGAGUUUCUUGUCAAAGGCAACUUUAUGCAAAACAUAGGCCUUCCAAUGUAUAUACUUGUCUUAUACAGUUAAGUAUAAUGUAAGAAAACACAGCAAAUGUACAUGAACCUGAGUCUCUAUCUGCAAAUUUAGAUAAUAGAAAAUGGACCAUGAUUAUUUUAGGUGGCCAGCUAAUAAGACGACAGGAAAUCUCAUAUGAACAAUAUCAAGUCAGUUGUCAGAAUGCUACUUGAGAUCCUUCCCAGACCUCAAAUACUAAUUGAACUCCAUGAACUGCAAUAUUCACAAGCGCAAUAUCAAACAGAUAAAAUUGAUAGAGUAAACAAUACACUCCAAAACCCUGUUUUCGACAGAUUUUUCCUUUCCUGUCAUAAACCUAGGAGUUCAUUGUUGUCACAUAAAUAGUAACAUGUAUAUACCAUCAUGAGUUUACAAUCCAACAUCCAACAGAGCAACCUUAAUGCAUAACAACAUUACUUUUCAAAAAAUUAAUAACAAGUUACUUGGAACAUUUUUCUCCCUAAUUGCCAUUUUCAGUGACUAAAUCAUCAUAGAUAACAAAGAGGAAGCACUAACAGCACAACUGAGCAUUAAUAAUUACAAAAGCAAAAGAAUACAAACUAAAACUAAGGUGAAAUUGUAAUACGGAAAGCAAAAUGCAAUCCAAAAAAAAGUAACAAAGUUACCUGCAAUUCUGGUGCUUUAUGAGGAAGACCAUACCAUUCUUCAUAUUCAUCAAUAUCACGCAGACGAAAAUCCUGUAAAAGUGUUUACUAACUGUAGUGACCUCUCACAAGAAAUGAAUCUAGAGAUAAUCUUGUAUGCAUUCAUAAAAUUCAUAUGAAAUUGCUAAAAGGUGCACCCGAAGCAUACUGCAGAGAGAUCAACAAUCUUCAGCCCCUUAGGGAGGCCUUUGAUGAUUUCCUGUGAGAAGAAUAAUAUGUCAGAAAAUGAAACGAGCAGAUUGUCUAUCACAUUCAUAGAAAACUACAUCCGAUUUUCUAAUAUAUUAAAAGGGUCCCAACCUAGACAUUUAAAAAAGCAAUGUAAAAGAACCUGUGUUGUUCCAUGUGGCAAACAACAAAAUACAGCAUCCACAUCAGAAAAAUUCGCAUCUUUAACAGCAAUCAUAUCAGGCAAGUCCUGCAAAUCAACAGAUAAUCUGACAUCAGCCUAUCACUUGUUCCACCAGAAUCAUUCAGCAUUGUGUUAUAAAGCCAUGAGGAAGAAAAGAUUCUAUGAUAAAAAAAUAUAUCAAAACUCCUCCAAUAUGCAACUGGUUAUCAAUCAUAUAUGACAACUGCCAAAACGGAUACCAGAUUGGUUUAGCAAUCCUGCAAACUGAAAAACCAACCCAAGUUAUUUAAAUUCCAAGAUUCAUGUCUCCAUGUCAAUUCCUGAAAGCAAACAUGGGUACAUCUGCUGCUUUUUCAAGCUCAAGGAUUCAAUACUAUCAUAUAAAGGUAAACUAUACCAAGAACAAAUAGCCUUUUCAAUUACUGAGGUCCAAUACUAGAUCAUAUUAAUGGUUAAACCAGCAACUGAAACCUUAAGACAAAACAAGAGGGGAGGGAAAAGAAGGAUAAGAAAUGUACCUGUGUGAUCAAGUGAGGAAAUACCGAUCCAAUUGAUUGACCAGCUUUUCUAUCAGCAGUCAUGAGCAUAAUGCCAAACUGAGGAUGGUUUGCCAGGAGCCGAAUAAUCUGUCAAACAAAAUUGAAGAACUUGCAUGUCACUGGAAAUGCUCCGAGAGAGAGAGAGAGAGAGAGAGAGAGAGACNNNNNNNNNNNNNNNNNNNNGAGAGAGAGAGAGAGAGAGAGAGAGAGAGACCCAAAUCUCAAAACUGAAAACCAUGCAGACAAGAAAAUCACAGCGUAGUAGUUAUAGUCUGAUAAAGUUCAAACAAUAACAAUGAAAGAAAAUAACCUAUAACAAGCCACCACCUAGCAUUAUAGAUAAGCAUAACAGUAGGGCUAGAAAAUUAUAUCUUGUAUAGUUGUAUAAGGUAGUGCCCAAUUUCUUACAAGGCCAUGCCCUGCAUAGUUUGAUUACUUCUACCUUUUCAGAUGGUUAAGCUGGGUUUCAACCUAUAACUUGCACUUACGGAUCAAUCACAUAACACAUUGGCAUGAAAGAAUUGUGAAACUUCUUUUAAUAGGUAAAAGGCAUCAUUAUUAAUCAGCUUAUCAAUAAUUGUACACUAGGAGCACGACAAGCGAUAAUGACACAAACCCAGCAGAUUGAAACCCAAAAGAUGAAGCAAAAGAAGAAACAGCUGUAUAUCCAGAAAAAAAACAAAAGCAUAAAGGAAUAAAGAAAAUUUCUAUAACUAAUAUCUACAAAAAAUUGUCAGCAGAGCAUCGUCAAUUAUGAUUUUUCUUGCACGUCAUCUUGAUGUAUACAGAUAGGUAGCCUCUAUAUAAGACAUAUAUAGUUUUCAGCACUCCUAAAUUGUAGAUCUUCUUGUGGCACAACCAAGGCAUCAAAGGAAUCAUCCAACCUCAUACAUCUCAACACACAAGAUUCUUGGACAUCCAUCUAUCGUAGCCUAUUCCACUUGUCCUUACCAAAGAAUUAUACAUCUUUAGAGAAAGAUAUAACUCAAGCUUCAAAAUAGAGUCUACUGCUGACUGAUCUUUAAAAAUACUAAACAACUUCAGAGGAAGGAUAUUGCAAAAUACUGCCAGUGGAGACCCAGAUUCGGAAAUCUAAUGAUCAACCAUGAACAUUAAUGAUUUAGAAAAGUGAAAACCAGAAGAAAGGGUAUUAUUUUUCACAUUUGUAUAUGCUGCAUUUAGAAAAUCAAGUACUCAACUACUUCUUUCCUCCCUACAUAAAUUUUAAACCAAUUGAAAUAAAUCUUCCAAAAUCAUUAUCUAAUUUAAAUUCUAUCGGUUACCACUAAAAAAAUCCAAUAGAAAAAGAGUAAAAACGGAUUAAAAAAAAAAGAAGUAUACCUCGGCCCCAGUAUAACCACUGGCCCCCAAGACCCCAAUUUGGACCGUUUUCUCCGAUUUCUGUGUCUUGCCCUUUGCAAGCUGCAAGCUUUGCUGCGACGAAGCCACGGAUGCUCUCACCCGAAGCACUAAUCCACUCCGUCUCCUUACUUUCAGUCUCCCCACUUCGUUCUGCUAAUAAAAAUCAAUUCUUUUUUACUUAAAAGAACAAUAUUUCCACUUCCCUUGCUUAUCCAUAAAAAACAGUUCGCAAUACCGACCUUUUGUAGGCUUCCGACAUCCACAGAAACUGCUCCCAGCGCCGCCGAGCUCAUUUCCUCAGAAACAAAGACUGAACAACGAAAAUUUUAAGCUCGUGUUUCUUUUUCUCCCUCUACAAGCCCUGAUUGCUUAUAUAGCAGAAGGAGUAUCGGAUUCCCUGGGCAAGAAAGAGAAAGACACCAACUCUCAGAUGGUAAUAGGAGGUCGAGAAAAGAGUACGGUUCCAAAACGGUGGAAAUCUUGGAAAAGAUUCCAAAUGCGGCGAAUAGAUUACCUUCUCUCGAAGAUAAGAUGCUUUUGGGAAUGAUUUGGACGUUGAUGGCUGAAACCCUAGACCCAGAUGGAAGGAGAGCACCAGGAGAGAGGGAGAGGCGAAGAGAGGGCCAGCAUUUGGCCCCUCGCCGCGCUCAAGCGUGGAAGAGUCCGAUAGGGACUCGCGAACCGGGCCCCGGGUCCGCUGAGAACCACCACCAACGAUCCGACCCGACCCGACCCGACCCGGAAAAAUCAAGCCGAUCGGAAUUGUCCUGAUUCACCUGGACCUGACUGGACCGGACUGGGCCCGACUGGACCGGACUGGGCCCGACCUGCUCCUACAAUGGCGGCAAGGCGGUUCCGCCUGGUACCUCCAAUGUACAGCAGGGAAUGGAAGCUCCAGCCCGGUGGUCGGAGUUGGAGACUUCGGCCGUCUGAUCCUUUUCCAACAGGGAAGGGAAUCGGCCCAACGUGAUAGAGAAGGGAGCUGCACUCCUUCGGUCCUCUUUCUCUCCGCGUAUCCCCUGUGAGGCUGUGAAAUAGGGGCUGGCGAUGACUGAAACAGGGGCUAGCGACGUGAAACCGAAGCAGCAACGGGAUCGACUGAAGACCAAAAACAGGGGCAAGGACUUCCCUUUGAGUCUCGAAGAUUAGGUCCUCGGUGAGGGGAUCCUCGCCGUGCGAGUGACACAUCGAGAGAGGCCCUGGAUGCAGGCGGUGGUAGGCGGCGAGAUCCACUUCCAGGGUGUGUUUGGCUCAUGACCAGAAUCGGAUUGAUGGGAUCGCCUUGAUCACAACUCCAGUAGGGCCGGAUUGCUGGAUCUGGUUGGGAAAUGGAAAGCCCGCAUGGGUGCGUAUCAUGUGGGGAAUGAAGAAGAAACGGUGAAUAUAUCAUAUAUUCGUGAAAGACGUGGAUGUUGGGCGGGGAAACAUCACUAGAAAAAAAGGGCAAAGAGUAGUUUGCAAUUGCACUGUGUCGAUCAUCUGAUGGUGUACGUGGAAAUUAAGAAAGGAACCUAAGAGUGUUUCCAAGUUGCUGUUGCGGGAGAUCGAUCUUGUUCCUGUAAGUACUAUAGCCAGCAGCUGGCGUUAGCCUUAAGAGACCUCAGAAGCGAAAGUAUCAGCAACUUGGAAAGUGAAGACUCCCUCUUGUUUUCGUAGAAUCACGCUGCAUGGCCAUGCAGCAUUCCGUGACUUGAGUCACUUGACUUAUAAAAAAUAAAAUAAAAAAACUCAUUCAGUCCGCUAAGUAAUAUACCUGCAGUUUCUUCCUCACCAGCUGAUCCUGCUCGUCUAUGUUUAUAGUGUCGAGGGAAUGCAAGUUCCCCGAGCUCAUGAGAACCUUGCCGGUGCGGGAUCGGAUGACGGCCGACCGCGGACGGCCGAACUUGAUGCCCGACUUAAGAGUGCCCGACCCCGGGAGUCGGACUCCACCAACUGUCCACUAUGGAUACUUUCCCCUACGGACCGACACAGGAUCACGCCUUAGGUGGCUUGCUCCACAAUUAAUACGCCCGACCUGGCGCCCCACGCCGCCCACCUACCGCGGUUGCACCCUUCCGAAGUCCAGUCAGGGGCCAUACCGUGCCACCGCCUCCAGCAUUUAAUGCGCAUGAUCUCUGCAAACCCCCGACUUACUCAACAAUUAAUGUAUAUCUCCGACUCACUCAACAAUUAAUGCGCGUGGUUUCUAUCAUCUACGGAUCUUCGGUCCUUCACGGCAAAUCAACUCGGCAGCGUUCGGUCAGCCGUGACAACUCUCUGAUCCCGGCCUUGCCUCCGACGUCAAGGCAUUAAUUCACCUAGUCGCGCGCCAACUCAAGCGAUGUGCUGAGUCGUACGGCCACCUCGCCCUAUCACAUCACAGGUAAUCCGACCUCCCUAUAAAAAGGAACCCCUCCCCCUCAGUGGGGGGUUGGACUCAGAAAAAGCCCAGCAGAAUAUAUCUCCUUCCUUCCUCUCUCCUACUCAAAAAAAAUUAAGCCCCCUCUCUGACUUAAGCAUCGGAGGGCCGGCGCCGGAAACCCCGGCUACCGGUUUUCUUUUGCAGGCCCCCCAAGGAGGACGCCGCUCGCCGACGGAUCGCCGCUCCCCAGUAUUCGCCGGAGCUCCUCCUCCUUGGCCGACGGUCGCCCCCGGGUCCAAUUUCCAGCAACAUAUAGCAUGUGGGUUCUUUCCACGAGAAGCUCGAUAACGAGCAAGCUCUUCUUUCACACGUGAAAGGACCGGCUCUGAUCGCUGCAAAUGCGUUUAGGUCUUCAAUCUGUAAUGUUAAGAGACUGUUCUCCUCCUGUUGCACUGGGUGAAUUAUAUUGCAUCAAGAAAAAAAAAAAAUCUGAAAAUGUAUAAUUCGAAGCUCUACCCUUCCUUAAUUUUAGCAUGGUGAUGAAUGUACUGCUGGAGAUUCUGUUGACUGGAGAGCCUUUUUACUUCAUCUUCAAGUUCCAUAGUCAUCUUCUUGGACUUCGCAUUCUCCACCUGCAAAAUUUUACAAGAAGCUGACAGCCUGACAGUGAAGUUAUAUAUGCAUAUAUAUAUAUAUAUAUAUAUAUAUAUAUAUANNNNNNNNNNNNNNNNNNNNUAUAUAUAUAUAUAUAUAUAUAUAUAUAUAUAUAUAUAUAUAUAAUGAAAAAACUAUAACAAGAGGGGUCUAAAAUUGCUUAAAUUGGUAGAAGGAACUUCCAGGCCUUCAAUAUUUCAUGACGCUCAGCCACCCUUUAUGAAAUAUUUCAUGUGCGGCUGGUUUGGAAUGUGCACAGUAUAUACUGCGGGCCAGAAUAAUUUUGUUGGCCGACGAUUCGGCUACAGUAACUAAUUAGAUUUAGAGAAAUUUAAUGGUACAGAUGGGCGCCACCUCUUAUAAAAUAUCUGAAUUAUAGUGAAAGAUAACGUUGAGUUACAUAUUAGACAUAUUUACAGAAAGGCUAACGGAGCUGCGAACUGGAUGGCCUCAUAUAUGGUUGAUCAUUUUGAGGGCACUCCGUGGGUCAAAAAAAGAAGUGCCUAGUGCACUCCGCAAAAUGUUGGCUUUUGAUUUUUUUUUGAAUAUAUUCAUAUUAAAAAUGUACAAAGUUGGAAGUUUGGAAGCUAGAUACGCACGGUUGAACUCAAAAAUUUGGAAGCUGGAUACGAGUAUACCUGAAGUGGACACUAUAAUGAUUUUUGGCAUGGUGACUGAAUUACCUUUUUUUUUUUUUUUUGUCGUUGGCAGGUCACAUCAUAGCCGAAAAAACCUAUUUUUCCUAUAGUAAAGGUUUCCGCCUCACUCCCGUCCGAGUCGGAUAGCUCCCGCCAUAAAAAAUGGUGGAUGGCGGGAUGCACUGGAGGAUUACAUGGACUUCAAUGUAGAAUCUCUCAAACCCUGCAUAACGUGGUCACUGUUGACUUUCUUUCCUAGACCAGUAGACCCCUAGUUAUAGGCAUUAGGUGAGAAAUGAGCCCUGUCAGAUCAGUAGACAUCAUUCGCAUCCCUGAAACCAUUGUAUUCUAGAAAUACUUCAGUAAUUAGGAAAAAAAAUCUGACAUGCAAUGCCCAAUUUAGCAAUUCGUUUACCAUCUUAAAAAAAAAUGCUAAACAAAUAUACAAGCAAAUAGAUGCCAACUAGUGUUAGCUUAAUUAGUUUGAACCCUUAUUCAGUAGGGAUUUGGAAGAGGCCUAGAAAUUAAAUUUUAUGGUUGCUAUCUCACUGCACGUAUAAAUCAUACUGGCAAUCCUCUAAAAACAUGGCAACCUUCACUGGAGGAAUGUUUAGAGACUUGAGAGUGAAAAAUGGAUCUUUCUCUAUAAAUAAGCCUUCCUUUUUUGGAACACUAACCAGAGAAAUUAUUGGAUGAAGGUUGAAAUCAUUCUAAUGCGUGUUGCGAUUAUACAUAAAAAGAAAAGACAAGAAAAUUUAGUCUAAAUCUAUUGUGGAUCUGGUCGACCUAAUAUCGCUUACCGUACUAGAAGAUUAGAUUCUGGUCGCUUCCUCCCUGCAGGCUCGGAUAUCCAGGCACUGUAAAACCGACACAGACCUCGCAUCUAACUCUAAUCCUCACCGCGUUAUCGUCCACGUAAGGCAUAAGCAUCGCUUGCAUCCGCAGCCGUCCAACCCCUAUACCACAGUCCUCGGAUACGACCGUCCCAUUCCCUGGGUAGCUUAUCCCUUCCGCCGGAACGCGAUAUUCCGACCUGGUCUUCAAUGACCGGACCCCGACGAUCGCUACCUCCUCGUUGUCUUUGAGCCAAAGUAGGGAGACCAGACGCGAUGGCAGCGACUCUCGUAUUUAUUUCCAUCCUCUUCUCCUCCGCCACUCUCGUGCUCUCCCUUCCCUCCUCCAACGCCUCCCGCCUCGCCUCUUCUCCGUCGCCGCAAACCCCUCUGUUCCUGCAGGUAUAUCUCCUUCGGCCUUUCUCUCUCUCUCUCUAAAAUUGCAACACUGAGUGCAACGCGGGGUCGUGCAGGGCGUGGUGAAGGCGAUCGCGGCGAGGGAGCGGUGGGAAGGGGAGGUUAGGGUUUCGGAUCUGGACGCCGGAGGAGCUAGGGUCGGGGGAUUCCAGAGGUAUGAGUUCCACGUUCGUGUGGGUCGGACGGUUUUGGUGUCGAAGCUUUCUGACGAGGUGCUCUCCUGGAGGAAGGCGCGCCGCGCGGGCGCGGUGGAGUUCGGGCCGGAUUUGACGGCCGGAACCGCCGUGGAGGGAUUGAUGCCUGUCGUCAGGGAUUUGGAGUUGGAAGGCCCGCUCGAUUUGCGCGUUUCUGGUGGUGGGGAUGAUUGGCUCUCGCUUCAUUUGCCCGCUGUAAGUGAUUUUUUUUUUUUUGGAAAAAAGAAGAAGAUUGAAACUUCUAAUUUUAAUUUACUAUAGUUCUAACACUCUUUUGGAUGAUCAUUGAUCAAUUUCAUUUUUAUGCGUUUUAAGGCUAAUUGCAGGGUUUAAUAUAUUUUUAUAUAUGGCAUUGGAUUUGUGCACUAUCUGUUAUUUUCUUUAGCUCUGCUUGUCGACUUGAUUAUUGUGGCGGCAUACUAAGUAAGCUGUUCGUAAAUCGAGGUCGGAAUCGAUUUCUUAAGAUUGCUUGUUUCUGUUUUUAGUGGCUUACUUCCAUGACAAUAUUAUGUUUUAGUGUAGUACAGUGGAAAACCCCACUUGCUUAAAAAGUCUACACUUCUGAAGUUACUAAACUUACUAGAGAAUAGAACAGAGUGGGACAUAAAUGAAGACAGCUUCCAAGUUCUCCGGUCAAGGUGAUAGCAUAACUAGGAAGGAGAAAUCAUAGAAAACUGAAAAAAUGAAAUAUGUCUUAAGGUUAGUUAUGUUACAAAAAAAUAUAGGUUGUUCAAUCCAACAUUCUCAAUCCUCGCUGUUAAGCUUAUCUUAGAUGCAUUUAAUUUCUCAAUAUCUUUGUUAUCUUUGCCUUUUAUGUCUCCUGCAAACAACUUCAGUCCAUGGACUUUUGACAGGCACCAUCUCUAAUUGGUCUAAGUGAGAGAAUAACAUUAGAAGGUGUGAAGUUGUCUUUUAUAACUCAUAGAACACACUAUUCUCAUUCACAUUCAUUCCCCUUUUAUAUAAUUUUUGUAGUUAAUACUUUAGAAGAGUGGAUGAUCAUUUAAAAGCCUGAUUCUUGAGAGGUGCCACUGGACGCAGUUCAAUUACAUAAAUAUAUUCUUUUCCUAAUCCAAAUGGAUUCAUUCACAAUCAAUAGAAGGAUCCAACUAAGAAUGACUCAUUGUGUGUCCACAUCUAGACGUUAAGUAUCUUCAACAUCGGUUUUCACCUUAAACUUCUAGAUGAACAUAGUAACUGCAAUUAUCACGUCCAUCCCUUCCACAUCAUUGGAGUUCUCCUGCAACCUCCGUUGUUGCACCAAAGAUUGAGGUUAUGCCAAGAUCAAGAAUUGGACUACUUGCUCAUGUAGAUCUAAGCAAAUCACCCGCUUUAACAUAUAAAGUCACCAUAUUAACUUGUCCAAAUUUUUCCCAUAAAUCAUGAAUUCAGGUUUUUGUGGCAAAUGUACAAUGGAGCCAAAUCUUGGCGGUUCUUAAAUCCUCCAAUUAGAAACUCCACUUAUCUCCAUGAUUAAUUUGAAAAUGUAUCUUGUUAUCAGAAAAGAUUGAAAGUGUAUGCUAUCUGAAAAAAUGUGAAGUUUAUGCCUUAGUUCUAAUAUCUUAAAAUCACCUAUAGUUUCUUUCCAAGUGUCAUUUGUUAAAUGUGUAAAUUACCACGGUAACUCAAUACACUUGUUUUCAACGUGUUUCUCCAGGAAAUAGUGAAAGUUUUUAUUUUGAGAACACUUUGUAUAUUUCAUCAUGAGAUUCAUAGUACAUUUUGUAUUUAUAUACUAACCUGUUUCUCUAAUUUGAACUGAUUAUUAAAUGUAAGAAUAACACUUUUUAUUUUGCAUAAUGAGAUUCAUAGUGCACACGCACUUAGCUAAAGUUCAAUGGUGAUUGAAGAAAGAUACCUUGUCUUCACUUCCAAGCCUUGUUGUUGGAAAAUUACUCUGUAAACUGCUUAAUUUGUGAUAUCUUCUUUUGCUAGCUGACGUUGAAAGUAUAAUAUAUCUUAAAGCAAAACCAUCAUGGUUUAGCUAAAAGGGAGUUGAAUGUCCUGAAGAUGACUUCCCCUCUCUGUAUGUUUAUGUUCGUGGAAAGAAGGAUUUACAGAUUGCCCUGCAGCCUACUGUUUAUAUUCUGAGAGCAUUGUGUUGGGGGAAUGAGGAGGCUGACUGCCUACUGUUUAUAUGGUUUAAUUAAUUGAUAAAAGCUUGCCCAAGAAAUGAAUUUAAGCUGAUAUUGGAUGCACCUUUUGUUUGUGGAUGGGAAGAUGAUGGAGCGUGUGAUACUCUGUAACACUCUUGGUUGUCUUGGUUUCUUUGGAUUCUUUUACUACUUGUUACAUAGUUCGCUACAGUGUAAUGGGACAAACCUUUAUAUCUUUAUAUGUGAAACAAAACUUGAUUUUGAGGGUCUGGGUCAUUAGUCAUUGCAAACUAACGAGCGUCAACAUCUUUCUUGAUGCAUAAACACAGUUUUCUUUGACUGUAGUACAAGAAUUAAGCAUAUCUGUUACUUGAUAUAACAUGUAGUGAAACAAACAUCCAACAAAACAUUUUCGUUUGACAUGAAAAAUCAUCAAAGAAAUGAUAUAAUUGAAAUUAGGUACAUCUAUACUGCUGUAAUGUGGUAACUAUUCCAAAUGUGUUCAAUCUAAUCCCACUUUCAUUUAUUGGACUGUUAUUAAAUAUUAACAUUUGGAAAAAGGUAAUAACUAUGUUUUCUUCCUAUUCUUUCUCUAGUUUUUGUCAUUGCAUUCAACUUCUAAAUGGGCGAACGAUAGUUGCAGUUGAUAUCCAUUCAUUAUUCUUUCUUCUUAUUCUUUCUCUGGUUUUUGUCAUUACAUUCGACUUCUAAAUGGGCGAACGAUAGUUGCAGUUGAUGUCCCUUCAUUAUUCUUUCUUCUUAUUCUUUCUCUGGUUCUUGUCAUUGAUUGGUAAUAUUAUUUGUCAUGGACUAAUGUUCAUUAGCAGAAAAAUAGGAAACAAAGAAACCAUUGUUGAUUGUUGAGAAAUCUUGUUGUCCUAAUGCGGGAUUUCAUCUGAUACAGGCUCUCAGUUCAGGAGCAACAGGACACAGGUAAAGGUAUGAGCAAUGUAGUCAGACAAGUGUACUCCAGAAAAAUGUAGUUUUGUGUACCUUCCAGGCAGUGGGCAUCCUCUAGAAGCACAAAUUUUGUUUUGAAUCAACAUUUAGAAGAAAAAAAAAACUAGGUCAUAUUAUUGAACAAUUUCUCCAUCUUAUUUUGUAGUAAAUUUUGAUGAGGGUUCACAUAUCUCUAGAGAUAAACAAAAGAAAUCAUUCUGGGUUUUUUGUAGUACCAGUUUGAUGAAAUCCACUUCAAGAAUUUAGAUUUGUGGAUUCUUAAGUAAAAACUCAAGAUGGAUAAGUCCGCGGAGAUUCAGGUUAGGAUUCUAAAUCAUUUUAGACUUGGAUCUCUGAAACCCUCCAUUGGAGCUGUAGUAUUUGGAACCUUCAUGUGUUCAUCUCAAAUUAUUAGUUACACUCACUAUGUCGUGGCACAUGAUCUUAGUUGCUAGCUUCGGGAGUCGGUGCAGGGAAGUGGGUAGUUUAGAAACACUUUUAGUAAGGAACUAGGUUGAAAAUAAGUUUGGGCUCGAGAUUCUAGGAAGAUUCCCAACUGGAUAUGCUAUGUUAUGUAGAUAGAAGACUCUAGCUUCUAAGGACAUGAUUAUUCACCCAAUUUUUUAUUUUUUAAAUAAAUUAUCAAACUGUUGGCUAUUACAGGUCAUUGUUGUUCCCAUUGCAAUUAGGAAAAUGUUUCCAUUUGUCCUUUCUUCAUGUGUUUUACAGCAGUCUUUCAUGUAGUUAAGAUAAAUGUUGUCAUGCCUAUCUAUUUCUAAUUUUGUUUGAUUGGAUAUGCUAGUAGAUAUAUCAUGAUCCAGUACAAGACAGUAUUGAGUGUAGAUAUGGAUCUCAGUGAAAUUAAUAGAAUCCCAUAUAAUUUAUCGUUUUUUGACUCCUCAACUUUGCAAGUUUUAGCUUGAAUUGCCUAUGCUAAUCUAAACAUUUUGAAUUUUCUUUUUUUGGUUUAAACAUCUAUUAUUUUUUUUGUUCAGCUUCAAUUGUUUCUCCUUUUCCCUGUAUGUACCUGUGCAGAUUUAGGCAUGUGUUUGCUGUAAUUUUUUUUCUUCAUUAUAAUAAUAUAAUGAAUUCUGAAGAACGUACAAUAUUUUAAUACAGUUGAAUGUCACACAUAGACAUUUGAGGCGGGUACUUGUUGGCAAUGGCAUCAGAGUAAAGCUAGAGGGCGCUCAAGAAGUCUCCCUUAUUCACCCUUAUGACAUUGGUCUGUCGCUGAAUGGAAGUUUAGCCACUCGAAGGAAAGAGCAUAAGCAGUUUUGGGCCUUUGGCUAUUCUUCAUGUGCUCCAUUGCUUUCAGUGCUUGUUGGAGGAUCAGUUUCAGUAAUUGCAGUUAGGAACCGUAGCUCGCUAGCUCCAGUUGAAGCUGCAUUCAGGUCCCCAGAUACAGUUGAAUUGUUGCCUGAGAAGUGUUACGAUGGGCAUUUCAAGUCAACUCCUUCAUGUUUAUUUUGCUCUAUUAGCAAGAGGUUGGUCCUGUUGGAUAAAGCAGUAGGAAGCUUGCUAGGCGACGGGGUGUUCCAGAGCGGGUCUACACGUUUCCUGAAAGCAAAAAUCAUGUCAUCAACUUUGGUCAAAUUUCGAUUGGAGCUCGAAAGAGACAUAACCAAGAAUGACAGUAUCUGGAAAAAGACUGCAGAGUGGAAAACAAAACCUACGGUCGAACGGCAUUGGUUUGAGAUAGUGGCUAGAGUUGAUGGGGAGAGGGGACUGAAGCCUGUGAUAACCAAGAAGCUGAAGAGACCUUUUAUCGUAGCUGAUUCUACUGCCUGGAGCAAUCUGAUGUCGAAUCUUUCAUUCACUCAGUUUCCAUCUGUUGUUGUACCCCCUGAGGCUUUAACAUUGGAUGUCAAGUGGUAGGAAGUAUAUAUUGUUCUUCUUAUUCUGGAAGUGUGUGGAUUUGUUAUAUGUGAAUCCACGCAAAAGAUGCCUUCUGUUGUGUGUACCCAGAGUUAUAAGGGCUUCACAAGGUCAUUUGUAGAGGAGGGGAAAGAAAGGUGGUGUAAAUAUGUAUCAGUGACGAACAUUUCUUUUUUGGAUAACAGAAAAUAUAUUUUUUUCAGAAUAACAUAGAGAGUUUUUUUGCGAUGCCAUUCUAAAUAUCAGAUUUUGCGUGAAUAUCCUUUGAAAAUUGGUAUUUGCAUAUAUACCUUCGUAAAAUUUUAUUAUUGUACAAAUAUUCCUAAUAUAACGGUUAUUCUAACGGUGUUAAAAAAAAUCAUAUUUUUAUUAAUUAAAAAUAAAAUGAAAAUAUGAAAUGAUGUUAUUAUCCUUGCUUUCUCCUCCUCCGCGCCCGUCUUCCACACUCGCCGCGCCCGGCUUCAUAUUUGUUCCAUCGCAACCCCACAUUCUUGACUACACAGGGUUGCAGUGCUUCUACCUGGUUAACUUAUGGAUACAGCUUGUACCAUGUACAUGUUCUAUUGUAUUAUUAAUUAACCUUGUGGUAGCAUUAUCCUGCAGAAGUGGUGAGAAAGUUUUGGGACCAGACGACUGUUCCAUUUUUUUUUAAAAAAAAAUGAUUGGUCUUUGUUAUUUAUUUGAGAUUUUCUUUCUGUUAUUAGAAUUCUCAAACUUUUCGUCUAGUGGGGAGAGAAGAACAGGAGGGACGGAGUGCUAUGAAUCUAAAUGAGUAAAAUUGAUCAUUGAACAUCGUAUUCUAAGUGUUUUUUUUUUUAAUAACACGGGAAAAGUUCAGCUAAAUUCAUUUGAAAUUAUGAAUGUAGUAAAGAUGAGACCGGAAUCCAGAUGACUUACUAAGAACUGAACCAGGUGGCACUCUCAAUCUCGAGAAAACUUGCUAUUUGCUAUUUGCUAUUUGCAGGUGAUGCCCAAGACUUUACUGGAUAUCUGCUAUGUAGUAAAAUUCGGAUGGUCUGUGGUGGUUGGGCUUUCUUUCUUCCCGUCUUGCAUUAUUUCAAUAGUAGAUUGGGUAUUUGAUCCAUUUGGACGCUCUUUUUAUUCCAGCUGUUAUUUACUUCUCUCUCUCUCUCNNNNNNNNNNNNNNNNNNNNCUCUCUCUCUCUCUCUCUCUCUCUCUCUCUCUCUCUCUCUCGUCUUUUAUCCUCAUCCUAAUAUAUAAUUUGGCCUGCAAUGCAGUUUACUGCAUGUUUGAUUGCUAGAAAAUCUAUAAAAGAGAAAAAAGAAGAAACAAAGCUUUUCAUAAAAAGAAAAAUUUUAUAGUAGUAACAACAAGUUCUUUAUUUUUUUAAUUUUCUGUUAAAACAAACGAAUGAAAAACUAAAUUUUCAAGAAAAGUAAGCUUUCCAUACAAUAUUUCUUGCAACAAAACAGCAGAGGAAACUUGGUUUCCAUUGAGACCUUGAGCGUGAUGCUAAGAAAAAAAUAGAAAAAUAUUCAUGAAUAAUCUGAUUAUAAUUAGUGCAGGACAUAGUGGACAGAACACGAAGAACAUCUUGUACUACAUCGCACAACCGUAAAGCGCCCGAGGACAAGACUCCAGCUGCAAAAUGCCAGCCUCUGAUUUCUGGAGCCACCACAAGUUUGUGGAUUUACUUCUUUAAUACAUACAAAGUCACUUCUGACAGAAAACUAUUCAGUUUGUGUAUCUCGAUGCAGAUUGGUGCCAUAUAGAGGUGUUGAAUGAAAACAAAGCAGCUUAAUAUCAUGUUCUUAUUGCCUGAGGAGAAGCAAAAUAAAGCUACCUUGCGGUUGAAGCUCAUGAUGCAAUCCCACGAUAGAGGAACAUUUUGUAAUUAUAAUAAAAAAUCAUUUCUGUGAAUUAUAUUUGAAAGCACCAUUGAUGAGGUCGGAGGGUAUCCCCAGAACCCUAGAGCUGAGUCCCCACUGGGCUCAGACAGCGGAAGCGACUGCUUCUCCUCAAAAAUAUUGUCCACUUUUAAGGAGGUUUCAUAGUCUCUUCCUAACGCACAGUUUUAUCCCGCAAAAGGCACCUCUGCAGUUAGAGAUACAUGCUGGCUUUCGUAGCUCAGUCGAUAGAGCUUGUCCUCGCUUUAAUAUUGUCCACUUUGAGGGAGCACACACGUGCUUAACACUAUGUACGGUUUGUAUACAACAAUUUCUCCCUCACGGCUUUGUCCCUCCUAAGAGGAUGCUUUUAAAGAAAAAGAGGUAGCGCCCCUUCAUUUAAGAAAUAAACCUCUCCGCUAUCUAGUCGAUGUGGGACUAAGUUCAGACCCUUUAUUUUCACAACAUGCUAGGAAUUUUUUCAAAAAAAAACAAGGAGACGCUGGAGAAGAAAAACCGGAUGGACUUGUUUUCCGGGAAGAAAAAGAACUAGAAGAAGAGAGUCAUUAGCAACUAGCGUGCCUCUUUUAAGGGAUAGUUUGGUCAGGGAAUUGGUUUCGACACUAGUCCGAAGAAAGAUGAAUGGAUGACCAGGAACUUAUUAAAUUAGCGAGCCAAGUUUCUCUCGCAUCCAGCAACCAACAAAGAGGGUGGUGGUAUUUCUUUUCCCAUGCUGGAUUGAAUGAUCUCUUUCUCUCUCUUACAAGUAACCAAGCAUGCAAUAAACUAAACUAAAUGAUGCAUUAAUAUGGCGUCUAAAGCAAAUGCUGGGAAGACGAGCAAACCCAUACAUAUCUUAAAGCAUCAUAAUACUCUACAUGCCUUACGUCUGACACGUACGGUGAGAACAAGACAGUAGUAGUAUGGAACACGCUGUAGCUAGGUUUUAUUUCACUUAACACUCUACUGUACAAUCCUCUCCAUAGCAAGACUCCUGAGCCAAUCAUACCGCCUUCUUGAAAUGAUAAAUUUGGGAGUUUUCCAUCUCCAGCUUCUUAAAGUUGCUGUUCUUCCUUGACUUAAAGAACUCCCCCCAGUUGUACGCAUUGUACUUGGCCGGCCUCUUCUCUUCAUCUAUGAGCUCCUCUAAUGGCUGCACCAUCACAUAAAGAGCCGGAUUGAAGAAGAAAGGAAUGGAGAACCUCUCCCCCACCGAGUUCACCGACACCCUGUGCUCUGCGCUCUGAUACUUAUCAUUGCUCCAGACCUAUCAUAAACAAUGUCAAAAACAUUAGUUUUCCAUGAAAAAAAACUAUAUUAGAUAUCGACGUCGAAUGAUAUAAACGAUAGAAAGUUGAAAUCUUGGUGCCUCGUCACCUGAAUUAUGUCGCCAACGUUGAUGAUAUAAGAGUUGGGAAUUGGCUUGACACGGAUCCACUCGCCGUCGGACUGCCUCUUGACAUCAAGGCCACCAACAUCUUGAGCCAGGAUGGUGAGGGCUCCGCCAUCCUUGUGCCGGCCGACGCCAAGGGCGAGGUGAGGGGAGGGGCAUGGAGGGUAGUGGUUGAAGCGGAUGAAGCUGGAUUGAUCUUUAAAGAACCCAUUCAAUCGAUUGGCAGGCAAGCCCAGGGUCAGUGCAAUCAGCUCCAGCAGCUUGAAAGCUAGCUCAUUCGCAGCUUUGGCAUAUUUCUCACAGGCCUCCCUGCACAGAGGAGAAACAUGGAAUAGGCAUGAUGUUCUAAAAACUUUCUGAUAUCAAAGAGGAUCUUAGCAGAGAUCUUGGUAGAUAUUUUAGAAUGGAGAAAUCUCGACUUAUAUGAUAAAUCCAAAACUGGCAACUAUAUAGGAUCGAUACUGAUUUUAAAAUAUAUUGAUUAAGUUCUUUUAGGAAAAAAGAAGAUAAAAUGUGAUUAUAAAGUAUCAGCCAGUAAAAUUGAAUUUUGAUAUUUUAGGAUUUCUUGAUUUAUAUCAAUCAAGAUAUAUAGAUCCAAUAUAUGUUAUGUAUUAUAUCAAGGGUCCUUCACUCUGGUACAAACUAAGAUCUUGGCGGAGAUAUCAGCUGCGAUGGAAAAUUUGGAAUUUACUCACAAGUUCAUACCAUGAUGAUUAAUUUGUAAAAUAAUAUGGAAAAUUAUGACAGUUCAAAAAUAAUGAUGACAAGAAAGCUAAACAAAAAUAUACUUUAUGAAAUACUUUAAAUAAAAUAAACAUAGAAAGUUAAUUGGCAUGAUGUAUAUGUCAAGUACUUAAAAUCCUUAGGAGUAAAUUUGAUAUAGUUGGAUCAAUAAUCCACUCAAUAACUAGGCUGAGAUAUGAAGUUAGAUCCCUCGGCCAGCAGUAUCUAACCAAAAGUUUUACUGAUCUGAUUCAGAUUGUUGAUCCUCAAGUGGAAUCAUCGAAGAUUAGAAUAGCAGUCAAACAAGAAAAUAAUCCUUUAAAUCCUUUGAAAUUUUAGAAUAGCGCAGACUAGUGAUUAAGAAAGAUGAUAACUUUCGAUGCAGAGAGAAUUGAGGGGAGAAGCAGUUACCUAAAUCCUGGAGGAUAUUCUGGCCACCGGUUCCUAAGCGGGAGGAACUCAUCAGCUCCGGGCUCGGCCGACGCCGGCAACACGGCCGGCUCCUCGACGACGAAGUCGAACACCUCCUUCCAGUCCCUUACAUUCUUGGUGUGCUCCACAUCGUAGUAGCCGAGCGGAUUCACAUCAUCCCUCCUCACCUGCCGCUUUUCCUCCGCCGGCAGCGCGAAGAAUCCCUUGGACGCUGCCAUGAUGUUGUCGAGGAGCUCUGAAGGAACCCCGUGGUUGAUCACCUGGAAGAACCCCCACUCCAAGCACGCCGCCUCCACCUCCGCCAGAAGACGGGAGAUGGCCGGCGGGGCGGCGCCACCGGCGGCCGGGAUGGGGGAGUGGAGGAUGGGGGAGAGGUCGAUGAGUGGGAUGCCAACGGCCGCCUCCGGGGCGGUGGGUUUGGGCCGGUGCUCGGGAGCUUGGACGAAGGCUGGAUCCACUAGAGAGCCCAUAUCUUUCCCUUUACGCGCGAAACGAUUGUUGGUUCGAGGGUGGUUGCUCUCUCUCUUCUCGUUUUAUCAUUGAUUGGAUACAAUGAAUCUGGACUCUUUGUAUCUUCUGCUCUUUGUUGCAAAUUUUUUCUCCCCUUUCUUGUCGCUCGUCUCCACCUGCCACCAAACGGCUGACGUUAUCUGUGACGCAGAUCAGUCGAAAGAGAGCGAAAACGUCGCUUCGAGGAUUUUUUUUUAUUUUUUAUAACACGAAAAUUUUUAUAUCAUUCUAGUUGGAAUACAUCCAACAAAAUUAGAAAAAAAAAAUCAACAACUCUAUACCGUCCCAAAGCAAACCGCCAGAGUGCUGGGUGACAGACGAUGCCACCCAAUCAGUCACUCUAUUCGUCUCUUGGAUGUACAUGAGUAACACGGGCAUCCGGACAAUCUCACAGAAAAUCAUGGAUAUCAUACAAAAGAGGGUGCUCGACACCAGCUCUGGCAUGGCCCUAAAUCCAUUAGAUGAUGAUAGUCGCCGAAUUCCCUUCAAGCUGAAUAUGAUCGACUCCUAGAAAGAGGCAAGCAUAAGUAAUACCCUCCCAGGCUGCCCUCAUCUCCGCCUCAGGAACAAAAGUGUCAUAAAGCCGACAACCUAUUGUCGCAAUCAAGCUAGAGUCGAAGCUUCUGAUGAGAAACCCAACCCUACCUCUUCUUCCGUCAUCCACCACAUUGUCAUCGAAAUUAUCUUGAGAACGCUCGGGGGUGGAGGCUUCCAGGUGAUAAAUAUCACCCGAGGCGCCAUAAGAGCUGAAAGGGAGCCCCGGGUAUCCCUCACAAUCCCAAUUCCAUCGACGGUCAUAACUUGGGUGUGCUCUGCUGCAUGGAUAAGCAUCUUGUCUGCUACAAUCCUCAGGCUCUUCCCUCUUCCCUCAAAGGCUCUGGUGUUUUUGUUCAACUAAACAUGAUAAGAGCCAAAGGCCGGCCCGCCACCGCCACAAUCUCCAUUAUCGAGUCCUUCUCCCAGUACUCCAAUGGGAGAGAGGGAAGAUGGAGCCAAACCACCAUCUUCUUUACUUUGGCCAUGCUAGCGAUGAAACCAGGCUUCCACCGUUCCAUAGCAAGGCAUUGGCCGGCCAUCACCCAUGGCCUGUUCGACAGGGCUGCAUUCCGAUCAUCUUCACACCGGAACGGAAGACAUAAUUGUCCUCCGCCAUCAGAAAAGCUUCCACCUCAUACUCUAGCUUCUCCCGGAUCUUGAGAUCCUUAGUUAUCCAUUCCACAGGAACCCUCCGCCCGAGGCUCCGAGCGACGAUCUCCAUCAUCUUCCAUGCCAUCCUCUUCGUCUCCACCCACUCCAUUGGUAGUUUCAAAGCCUCCACAAAAUACCAUUGGAGGUUUUCAAUCUCCUCCUUGAAGAUUUGGUGAUUUGUCCACAAUGGUUGUCAGAGGAUGCCUACACCAUACUAGACCACGUCCGGUUGUCUCCUCUGUGCUCCUGGUUCGGCCAAUCCUCGCUACUGCAGAAUGUCGUUGCUGGCCUAACACUAUGGGGGCGUUUGGUAUGGACUGAUCGUCUUAGGAUCAAGGGUGAUGUGGGUGGAGGUGAUGAGAUCACCGCGUUUGGUUGCACCACGAUGAUCCUACGUGGUGGUGAUCUUAAAUCACCUCCACUCCUCAAAUCACCCCCCAACUCAGUGAUUAGAUACUCGUCCUUGAGGUCGGAAAUCCAAGAUCACCCGAGGACAGUGAUCCUGGGUUGAAAGUUAAAGACAAAAAUAUCCCUCAAGUUAGCAGAAAAAUUGAUAUAUCAAUAUACCAUCAAUAUAUUAUAUCAAUAUUAUAUAUAUAUAUAAAUAUAUGUAUAUAUGUAUAUGUAUGUAUGUAUGUAUAUAUAUGUAUGUAUAUAUAUGUAUGUAUAUAUAUGUAUGUAUGUAUGUAUGUAUAUAUAUGUAUGUGUGUAUGUGUAUAUAUAUAUAUGUGUGUGUGUGUGUGUGUGUGUAUCUAUAUAUAUUAUGUUGAUAUUAUAUAUUAUAUUAAUGAUAUAUAUUAUAUUGUCAUAUAUUACUAAUCAUAUUAUUAUCCUAUUAUUAUUGAAGGAUAAUUUUAAAUUGUAGUAGAAAUAUAUUAUUAUUUUUUAUAUUUAUAUAAUGAAAAUAUUUAAUAUAUUACUAUAUUACUUCUAUUUACCUUAUUUUUUAAUCAAAAUAAUUAUUAGUAUUAAAAAAAUCUAUUAUAAGUAUAAAUAAAAAUAUUAAUUCUAUAACGAAAAUAACAUAUUUUUAUAAGAUAAAUAAUUUAUAGGAGUAAUAAAUAUAUUGUUAUAGAAUAUAUUAAUAAUUAAUAUACUGAUAAAUAUAUUAAUAUUUUAUUAUAAUAUAUUUUAUAUGAUUAAUAAAUAUAUGAUAAGGGGCUACUAAAAGUAGAAUAUGUGACAAAAUUAUGGAGUUAUUAUAAGAAUUAGUAUAUUGACUUCUAUUUUUAAUUCAUGAGAAUUAAAAAUAUAUAAAAAAUUCAUCUAAGAUAUAUCAAGAGUAAUUGUGGUAUUAUGUGAUCAGUGAUCUUGGAUCUCCGUACCAUACCAAACAAGUUACUCAUGGAUAUCCGGAGAUUUUUAAUCACUGAACCAUGGCCUACCAAACACAUUGAUCUUAGAUCACUAGGGAUCAAAUCAUCCCAGCAUUCGGAUCACCGUGGUGAUCCUGUUGGGGUUACCAAACGCCCCCUAUGGUUAGCCAUCCGGUCACCCACCACUUGUUCGACAGAAGGUCGUAGAAACAGCACGAACCUUCAACCAAAUUAUUCUAUUACCACACUACCGAGAGGAAAGAGCAGGCGUGUUCAACUAAGUUUUAGCCUACUUUGGAGCUUCCGGCAACCGCUUCAUUCCUCGAUUCUUCCGAGUACAAUUUUGUUUUCUAUAUUUUCACGACCAAGCACUGGUUUUGGAUGAGCCUUUUAAUAAGUUGGUAGGUCUCCUGUCACCAUGGCAGGAACUGGAGAUGAAACAAAGCUAACCACCAGGUCUCUCUCGCUCACGCACGCACCCAACCACCCCCACCCACCACCAGCUAUCGAUAGGACAACUUUUCACCCCUCAUCUUUAGACAUUAUAUCAACGACAUUAUGAUUGAAAACAGGUCGUUGUUUCAAGGAGUCAUUUAUAGCAAGUCAGACAUCCACAUCAUUUCAUACUAACAACAAAAGAAAUUGCACAAUCAUUACAGCAAACAUUUAAACCUAUAUCACACGUUUAGUUGGUUUGCUUUGUUGGCAGUCAGGUUUGUAACUCAAAAGUUCUCUACCAAAUUAUAACUGUUGGGGAGAACAAGAUUUUUCCUCAAAUGACGCAAAUGUCCCUAAGGAGCCGCACGACCUCCGACCCUGGACGACCGAAGUCGGCGUCCGACCUCGGGACGCCCGACCUCAAGACGACCGACCUCGAGACCUCCGAUUUGAGAAAAGCCCCGAUGUUCGAGGUCUACUCUUGUCAGCCACCUACUACGGCCGUGCACCUCUGAGGUCCGGCCGAAGACCAUACCCUGACGCCCCUCUGGCAUUUAUUGCGCAUGGUCGCUGUAACCCUCCGGCUCACUCAACAAUUAAUGCGGAUCUCCGGCUCACUCAACAAUAAAUGCGGANNNNNNNNNNNNNNNNNNNNNNNNNNNNNNNNNNNNNNNNNNNNNNNNNNNNNNNNNNNNNNNNNNNNNNNNNNNNNNNNNNNNNNNNNNNNNNNNNNNNNNNNNNNNNNNNNNNNNNNNNNNNNNNNNNNNNNNNNNNNNNNNNNNNNNNNNNNNNNNNNNNNNNNNNNNNNNNNNNNNNNNNNNNNNNNNNNNNNNNNNNNNNNNNNNNNNNNNNNNNNNNNNNNNNNNNNNNNNNNNNNNNNNNNNNNNNNNNNNNNNNNNNNNNNNNNNNNNNNNNNNNNNNNNNNNNNNNNNNNNNNNNNNNNNNNNNNNNNNNNNNNNNNNNNNNNNNNNNNNNNNNNNNNNNNNNNNNNNNNNNNNNNNNNNNNNNNNNNNNNNNNNNNNNNNNNNNNNNNNNNNNNNNNNNNNNNNNNNNNNNNNNNNNNNNNNNNNNNNNNNNNNNNNNNNNNNNNNNNNNNNNNNNNNNNNNNNNNNNNNNNNNNNNNNNNNNNNNNNNNNNNNNNNNNNNNNNNNNNNNNNNNNNNNNNNNNNNNNNNNNNNNNNNNNNNNNNNNNNNNNNNNNNNNNNNNNNNNNNNNNNNNNNNNNNNNNNNNNNNNNNNNNNNNNNNNNNNNNNNNNNNNNNNNNNNNNNNNNNNNNNNNNNNNNNNNNNNNNNNNNNNNNNNNNNNNNNNNNNNNNNNNNNNNNNNNNNNNNNNNNNNNNNNNNNNNNNNNNNNNNNNNNNNNNNNNNNNNNNNNNNNNNNNNNNNNNNNNNNNNNNNNNNNNNNNNNNNNNNNNNNNNNNNNNNNNNNNNNNNNNNNNNNNNNNNNNNNNNNNNNNNNNNNNNNNNNNNNNNNNNNNNNNNNNNNNNNNNNNNNNNNNNNNNNNNNNNNNNNNNNNNNNNNNNNNNNNNNNNNNNNNNNNNNNNNNNNNNNNNNNNNNNNNNNNNNNNNNNNNNNNNNNNNNNNNNNNNNNNNNNNNNNNNNNNNNNNNNNNNNNNNNNNNNNNNNNNNNNNNNNNNNNNNNNNNNNNNNNNNNNNNNNNNNNNNNNNNNNNNNNNNNNNNNNNNNNNNNNNNNNNNNNNNNNNNNNNNNNNNNNNNNNNNNNNNNNNNNNNNNNNNNNNNNNNNNNNNNNNNNNNNNNNNNNNNNNNNNNNNNNNNNNNNNNNNNNNNNNNNNNNNNNNNNNNNNNNNNNNNNNNNNNNNNNNNNNNNNNNNNNNNNNNNNNNNNNNNNNNNNNNNNNNNNNNNNNNNNNNNNNNNNNNNNNNNNNNNNNNNNNNNNNNNNNNNNNNNNNNNNNNNNNNNNNNNNNNNNNNNNNNNNNNNNNNNNNNNNNNNNNNNNNNNNNNNNNNNNNNNNNNNNNNNNNNNNNNNNNNNNNNNNNNNNNNNNNNNNNNNNNNNNNNNNNNNNNNNNNNNNNNNNNNNNNNNNNNNNNNNNNNNNNNNNNNNNNNNNNNNNNNNNNNNNNNNNNNNNNNNNNNNNNNNNNNNNNNNNNNNNNNNNNNNNNNNNNNNNNNNNNNNNNNNNNNNNNNNNNNNNNNNNNNNNNNNNNNNNNNNNNNNNNNNNNNNNNNNNNNNNNNNNNNNNNNNNNNNNNNNNNNNNNNNNNNNNNNNNNNNNNNNNNNNNNNNNNNNNNNNNNNNNNNNNNNNNNNNNNNNNNNNNNNNNNNNNNNNNNNNNNNNNNNNNNNNNNNNNNNNNNNNNNNNNNNNNNNNNNNNNNNNNNNNNNNNNNNNNNNNNNNNNNNNNNNNNNNNNNNNNNNNNNNNNNNNNNNNNNNNNNNNNNNNNNNNNNNNNNNAUAUAUAUAUUUGCAUGAUUUUGAAAUUACCACCCGAGAAGCUGGGAUGAUACAAGCAUGAUAAAGGCACCAAAUUUCUGCUAUGGAGCUUUCAAAAUCCCCAUCAUAUUUCAAGAACUUUAAAUCCAGCAACUUUCUCACCCACCCUAAAGUCAAUAUAUAAGAUUAGAGGAAUGGUCCCAAUCCAGUCAACUUCACCCUUGUAAGGAGACCACAAGUUUGCAGGCCAAUCUGCUAUCAGGUUUCCUUCCCAAUAAUAAUUGGUAGCUUUGAAAUGGGACAUUGAACCAUUGAUAUGACAUGAAACCACUUAAACUCUUAUACAACCUCAGAGAUGAAUGCUUAGGGUGCAUCUUCAUAUUCUGGUGCUUGGGUGGCAGGGUCACCAUAUGCUCCAGGGGCGCCAGUAUUUCAGACAAGGAUAUGCAUCAUUAGUCACAAAGAUAAUGUAAUGGAUGUGAUAGAACCUUCAUCAGUGAUUUACAUAUGACUAACAUCACCUGCUAGGAACCUUCAGUUGCUCCAUCAUGCUUCUACUGUGACCAGAGCAUCCAAUCACAAGCAAAGCUUGUCGGACGGCUGAAAUUGUUGCAUACGAGGCAAUGUAGUCCAAGGUAUAGUUGACAAGUAUAAUAGCUAAUUUUAUUUGCACCAAAGAGCUCAUGAUCAGAGAAUCUAAAAAUCAAAUAUUUCAACACUGAGUUCUCACCAAAUCUAUAUGUUUAUAGGUCUUAAGAAUUUUAGUAAGUUUUCUUUUAUGAUUUCAAAAAUUGGGGUUUAGUGCCUAAAUUAGUGAUCAUGUAUAUGCUACUAAUACAUUAUACAAGAAUUCAAUUGACUAUUGCAUAUCAAUAAAAUAUCCGAGAGAACUGGUUCUCUGCGAGAAGAGUUCUUCAAUCCCCACUCUCUUCAAUUCAUCCAUAUUGAGUCAAAAUGAUGUGAGAAAUAUAUAAUGGUGCUGAACUCUUCUCCAUCCGGAAAAUGAUGCGAGACCAAACCUACCUUAAUUUCACGAAUAUACAGAGACCUGUGCUUCGGGCAAAAGAGAACACAAGCGGCACUUGUUUCAGAGGCGGGCACCUCUAUGAGGUUGCCUCAGCUUCCUCAUAUUAUAUAUGGAACGUUACCUCCUCCCCCGCGCCCCAACCCCCCGGUCUCAUGUUCAUGUAUGUGCCUAUGGAAUGUUAUAAAUGGGGAGUAGAAAAGAAUGGGGCAGGGGUUAAAAAAAAAAUCAAUUAAUAAAUGAUCUAGAGAGACAAACAGAAAACCCCCUCUGGAAGAUUUCCAGGCAUGGAAAGUGCAGUAACAUAUCUUUGUGGAAAUGUUUUGCGGAGGGCAUUUUCAGAAGUCGAUGAGCUCUCAACUCCAUCUGUGUGAUUCCGACCAUGGAACUUGCCUAAACGGUUGACGAUGGAAAACCUCUCCAACUCCUGGCACUCCAGUCGUACAUCCAACAUGGCGGUCCUCCUGUCCAACCUGGUAAAUAAGGAGAAACUAUUUAAGAAGAGCAGUAAGGAAAAUCAGUGUGACAUAACAGAGAUCUUUGGAUAUCCGCAGGCUCCUUCAUAGCUUCAAGCGCAAAGACAUCACAUUUUGGAACAGAAGAUGGAAGGAUCAAAUAUAUCAACAUGACAUAUAUUCCCAAAAUUAAAACUCCAUGUAAAAGGAAGAUUGAAAAGGAGAUUUUGUGGAUAUACUUGCAGCAAGCAUGGUAAACCCAAAAAAGAAAAAAAAAUUGAGAGAGCGAGAGAUCAUGUUUGAUUGAAUACAUCUAUUGCAUUUAUCUGCCUUCAACCACCUAGUGAACCGAUGAAAGUUGCAUACAUAAUUAUCAAUACAAAUAAAGUUAGAAAAUGAGAAUGAUAACAAAACAUCCAGUGAUUGAACCUAAGUAUUUAACUGGCUGAUGAAAUCAUAGUCAUCCAUCAAAUACACCCUUAAGAACUAGUCCUUUUUGAAGAAAACUCCCUCUAGAAUUGAACAUGUUCAUAUGCGCCUUCGCCUAUAAUCAAAAAAUUGAAAAAGAAAGCAAAAGACCAACAGAACAUAUUUUUAUCGGAUGAGAACCAUAAUCAGAAGUAACCAUCAAAUGCUCUGUGCCUUUCCCUAUACUUCAAAAAAAAUUGAAAAAGCAAAAGACCAAUAGAAAACGCUUUAUGAAAUGAGAACCAUAAGCAUCCAGCAUAUACUUCUGUCACUUGAACCUAUCAAAUGCAAUCACAUAUAAUCAAAUCACAAGUAACCAUCAAAUACUCGUACCUCCACAACCAAUCAUGUGCAUCAUGCUGCCCAUUGCAUAAAUUAAAAAACAUAUUGGAAAAGAGAAAACAAGUGAAUAUCUGUUGAUGAAAUCACAGACAACAAUACUCUUUCCACUUAAUUUUGUGAUAGGAUCAGACAAACCCAUUGAAUAAAUUCUCUUCUUGAAUCAAUCCCAUACAUUAUGCACACAAGCAACCAGAAAGUUCUUAAAAAAUGGCAGUACUAACCUAAUUCCAAGCAGUUAAAAGUUGAUGAAUCGAAGUCAUUUAUCCAGUCAUAUAUACCGCACUUGCCAAGUUCUACUUUAUCUACAAAAAUCAUUUCAAUUUAUCCAAUCGAGUAAUCCACAAGUUCUAAAAAGCAUAUAACAAAGCAGUGUUCACAAUUUAUAAAAGGAGAUCCCCAAAAAUACUGCCCAUGGGCACAAGCGUCCUCUGGAUUUCCGUUCCUUUAUUUGUCAGGAAACAACAAUAGCAGAAGAGUUGGGAUCUCUAAGUAAUCUGAUCAUACAAAAUUUCUCAGAUUCAUAUGAGCUUUACGGAAACCUUAACCACUGAUUCCUUUCAAAGUGCUAAAUCCUCCAUUUAAGCAAGUUUUUUUCAGAUCCAUUUCAGCUUUCAUUCACCUUAUGAAGCAUGAAUCAACACCUCUUUCUUGUUGCAUACAACCAUAGGAUUUUAAUCAAUUUUCUCAUCAGUACAUCUUUUCUUGGUGCAUGUGCGCAAUUCUUGAACUCCGCAACUGAGUGCUCACUUUCAACUAUUGCCUACUUCUAACAUGCUACAUCUUCCAAACAACAUUCUAGAGCACAAGUUUCAAACAAUGCAAUCAUAUAACAUUGUAGAAGCACAUGACUUCCUCAACCUCGGACAAUCAAAGCAGAUACUAAGUGGACCAAAGAAGUUCAUAGAUCUAGUGAAUUACAUCCUAUGAUGGAUGACAAUCGCAAGCUGCCCCAACAAAUGAAGUUCUAGUUAGUUGGGACAACAUGUCAAAAUUCCUACUAUUGGAAGUCGAAAGAAUUGCACAGCUAUAAAAGGACCACAAGAGCAAAGAACCACGAUCCUAUGUGGUACAUAAAACAAACCAGAAAUCCCUAAAAAAAAGCAUCUCCAUAGAAGUUCUCCACUAACUUGCUAGAAGUCACAACAAAAAAUCAUACACGCAUGAACAUUAUCCAAGCCUUCUGUUGUCAAGAAGGCUCCAAAUAAAGAUUAAGCAGGGUAAACCUGAUAUUAAUCCACUUAUAUAUUGUAGACAGAUCACCCAGCUCUCAGAUAUGCAACAUGCACAAGCAACAAACUCUUUCGUCUUUCCCAUAUAAACAUGUUGUUGGCAAUUGAAAGCUCCUAAUCCUCUCAGAAGCCUCCUCUUAGUCAUAUUAACAAUCAUAGUCAAAAGAUUCUCCAACCAUUUCCAAGGUGACAGCACCUAGAAAAGCAGACUUUUGAGAGGAAAGAAAAAACACACAAAUCUCAGUAGAUUUCACCAACUACCAAUUCAAUCCUCCUCAAACGUUUGACAUGCCCGCUAUCCAGAAGUAUAUAAAGUAAUGAAUGCAAAAAAAAAAAAUAUCUCCUGGUCCUAUUCACGAGUUAUAGAGAUUAUUUCAUGCCCUAUCAAAUACCACAAGAAACACAGGUUGUGUCAAAUUUGCAUGCUGUCCAUGUCCGUCUUCUCGACACUUUUGCAAAAUAAUGGCAUGACCAUCAGAGUGCAGCACCACCCGUAAACUCAUAAAAAAUGGACAAUAGCAUGCUUGCUUCAAAUUUUUGUGUUCUAGCAUCCCCAGAAUCCGACAUUCUUUGAAAAAGUAACACCAAAUUAUAUUUCAUUUAUUGAUCAUUGGUCCCUAAAUUCUACUGAAACUCAAGUAAUUCCAAUAAACCAUAAGAUUGGGGUUGCUCACAAUUAUGGAUGCCACCUUCGGUGGCUGACACUUUCCCUUUUCACCUCUCUUGUUUAAUUUUUGUUGGAAGUAUUAGUUUUCUCAAGAUUUUGUUGUUUUGAUUCUUUCCAUUUUUCCAACAAAAACUUUCUAAGAGACGUCCAGCCAAAGAAUGUUGUACCGCACUGAACAGAGUACCAAGCUGUACCAAGGGUGGAUUGGGACGCACCCCCCCCCCCCCGAUUCAAGAAAUCGGGCGAAACAAUGGAAAGGAAGAUUUAGGGGCUCCACCCUGGCUAUUGCACGGCCAAAGGAGAGGAGGCUCGAAGCCCUCUCUCUCCCUCCCUCCCUCCCUCUCUUUUCAACAAAACAAGGGCCCUGACCCUAUUUUCAUGCGGCCAAAGGAGAGGAGGCUCGAAAGCCCUCUCUCUCCCUCUCUCGGCCUAUCUCUCUCCCCCUCCCCCUCCCUUCUCUCUUUUCCUCUCUUUCCCUCUCCCUCUACUCCCUCACUAGCUCUGGCUAUAUCAAUACAGACCUAGCAUGGAACAGCACAAUACUGUACCAUACCCUACCGCUAGGCAACCGGUAUCGGUAAGCACUCAUAAGAAAAAGUAACGAACAAUUGUUUAAUGAUUUUUAAAUAUAUAUCUAAUGGUUGUAAUUUUCAGUUUAAGAAAUAAAGCGCAAGCGACUCUCUCUAGUAUUUUCCUCUUUUUUACGUUUUCACUUUAUUGGGUUGAGAAAUUACCUCACAAUAAUUAGGAAUUCAAGACUCCAAUUUGUUGCAGAAUUCCAUGCAAAUAAGUAUAGAAUUGCAGCUACAAACAAAGACACACACAAACACCAAAAACCAAUGAUUCUAAACCCUUUGGAUCUAAUCAAGAUACUACAUUAGCUGCCUGUGUGGCACAUGAUUUUGCGCUCCAAAUAUGGAAAAUCAUUGUGGAUUCCUUUACCUAAGAAGAGCACAAAAAGGCAGUUGAGAUGUAUGUAUCACCUUAAGGCAAGAGAUAAUCAUUACAAACACACCCUUAAUAAUUUCAGGAAGCACCUUUCUCGCCUUCUAUACAACAUCAGGUCCCUUUUCUCUUUCGGUAGGUCACUUGCAUUAGUGUUUGAAUUCUCUUUUAUACUAGAAAAAAGAACAUAAGUUUGCACUUGUUUCUUUAUAAUCACUGGUUGAAACUUGGAGAUCUUCUCUUUCCAUCUCCUGCAGCGUUGCCUCAGGACUCCCCAAGAACAUCUCAAGCUACUUUUCUCUAAAGCAAUCUGUUCCCUAAUCCAAUUACAUAUUAGAUCACGUCUUUAUAAAAUCCCAUGUUAUCUCCAAACAAUACUACAUAUUCAAUCUCAUUUAGUUCCGAAGCUCACCAUUAGUUGAAAUAUAGUCACACCCACUUAUUGCUCUACAGUACAUGCUCAGCUUUUUUUUCUUUUCGUAUGGCAAGGCAAAAUGUUAUAAGGUAAAGAAUAGAGCAUAUGAGGGAUAGCUGAAUCAAUGUCAAGGCUGCUGCAGGAACACAAUAAGGAAAAAACAACCUGCAAUGCAGUAAAGCAUUUGUAAAGCAGUAAAUAGACUUCUUGGUACAAAUUAUAAAUAUAAUACAGGAUUAGAGCAAUUGCUCAUGGUACUGGAAAGUGGAAACUUACCCGUUUCAAGCAAUAUCUACACAGUUCAGUUUCUUUUCCAAUAUAAGAGAGUAAACCAAAAUCCACAAAUAAUAUCAUUCCUAUUCUCUACUUAUGUCUACCAAAAGCACCACUUAAUAUAAAUCUCUAAAAUAGAAGACAUGCAGAUAUUAAGUGAAAACAAAAUAGCAUGCAUAACAGUUUGUUCCUCCGAAGCCUAGUCAUAGUGCAAUAUGAUAUAUGUGGCUAGAACUUCCAUCCAUGCUCAAACAAAAUGCAGCCAUCCUUUCAAAACUGCCACACACGAAUGACCAUACACAGACAAUGAUGAGCCAUAGUUCAAAAUUGGAAAUUUUUUUUCUUUUAGACAACCAUGCACUAACCUAUCAUCAAACCAUUUAAUCAUAACUUUAAUAAUAUAAUCCUCUGUCAUCACCAUCCAUGAAUAAAAGCAUAGUUGAUCACCCUUAAAUUGCUUCAAGAAAUUAGGCCUCUCGCUCUUCACAUGAGGAAACGUUGGCAUUGAUAAUCCUUGGCUAGCUUAACUUCAGAUUAAGCAAUCAAUUUCAGAUUUUAAAAACCAUUUUAGAAAGAAAUACAAACAAUUACCCAGGUUCUCGGUAUUUUAGAAGCUUAAAGAUUUCUUUUUUCUUCAGUUAAAACCCCAAGUUUUCAGAAGAAAAUGAAGUCAUAUCCACAUGCUUGAGACAAUUGCUGCAACUCAAAAAUUUGUUACCAAGGAAUACAGUCAGAGAGCAAGGCUAAAGAUUCGACAAAUAAGUUUUGUAAUAAUUAAAUGUAAUAUCAAACAACACAGGUGGGGUUUAAAAUACUGAAAUACAGGCACAUAUCCUGGUAAAUUAGGCACCCUCAUACCAUAAAGAUGGUACAGGCAGUGCUUUCCAAGGAGUAUGCACCCAUACGAAACAGUACAUGGGCCCAUGAUGAAUGGGAAAUUUGAUCAUAAGUCAGAACUGACAAGCAAUCUUGCCAAAAGGAUAAAAAAUGUCAUAGCACAUCGAUUAAUGAUCAAAUUGGCAAGUCAUCUACAAAAAAAGGGAAAAAUGCACAGAUAGGAAGCUAUAUUAAAAUGUACUGGGAUCUCAGAUCUAUGGAAAUUUACAGAUGUUCCAUGACUAACACAGUCAGUCUAAUCUAAUUAUAAAGAUAUCAAUAGCAGCAAAACCAAUACUAAACUUCCAAACAGCUAAGGCCAAGUAAAUGACUGAACCAAUAUAUACAUAUAUAUAGAUUAAUCAGAAAAAAAUGGCACAUCAACAGAGACCCUGUAGUCAUUAAUACAAUCACGAGAGAGUAUCAACUUGGUCGCAAAAAGGGCAAGAGAGGAUUUUCCAUGCACUGAAAAUUGCUCGUACCUUAAGAAUUCACUUUCCAGCUUCUUCGAUCUUCCAAUGAAGUCCUCGACAACUUUGGAGUAAAUGUUGUCUCCCACUUUCUCCGAAGUCUCAAGUUUUUCUGAUAUCCUACAAAAUUAGGGGGAAAACAAUUGCCUUUAGAUGGCCAUGUUUUUAUCAAAGGUUCCGUAGAAAACAAAUGCAUCAAUAUGACAUUUGUUCCAAUAAACAAGCAAUUAAAAUUAGCAUAUUAUCCAUACUUCAUAUGUUAGACAAAGCAAUUUAACAUCUUCAAAACAUACUAAUUUGCUCAUUUUCUAAGAAUGUCCUUACAUAUUUUCCUUGUCUAACUGCAUGCAGGAAUCACUUCCUGAGCAAUCAAUCAAGCUGCAUGCAUCUAGUAGUGCUGAUUUAGCAACAUAAUAUGUUGAACUUUCAUAAGCUGAAGUUGCUUCUGUUUUAAGAAUUGCAGCCGGUAUAGCAGGAAGAAGCUGCUGCAUUAGCUGACUUGUGAGGAUUAGUCUUCUUCUUGGUUGAGGCACUGACAAACCAUCCUCUAAUAUCUCAGCUUCAUCCUCCACCUAUAAUCAGAAUUGAGUGAUAUAAAGAAUAUGAUUACAAUAUAGGAACUAAUAGCAGUCAAAAUGGACAACUCACAAACCUUUUCAGUUAACCUAUUGGAAGCUUGAGUCCACUCCAGCUCUGCCAUGCUGUACACAAUUUCAAAAAUUUGCUUGUUAGAAAGAUCGCAAACAAAAUCACAUUGCUCCCAAGAACGGAAAAGGCAAAAAUAAAGUAAAUCAAUAAUUAAUGAAGUACUAGCACUUAUCAAACAAAGUUGAAACUGAUGGAAACGACCACCUGAUAGUCUGCAGCCAACGGGAACCAUUUGUAACCUCUUUAUGCCAUGGUAGAAGCUCUGAUGCUGCACUUUUACGCUUCUUUCUUGGAACUAUAUCAUGGUCUAUGACAUCAGCAGGCAGGCAACUAGGAGAUGAUUCAUUAGCAGCUACGGUCGUAGAUAAUGUACUUCGCCCAAGACCACCAGCAUGACCUGUAUCCAUUCUUUGAGCUACUAUGGUACUAUUAUCCAUGCUCCCAGAAGCUUUGGGGAAAUUAAACUGCGGUGUGGCAGGUUUUAUAGUCCUCUGGCCAUCAUACAUUGCAAGAAUCUGACCAUUUUUGUAGGUUCCAUACUGUCCAAACCAGGAGGGUGCCAUCUGAGGACUAAUUUGCGGGUGCUUGCUUUCUCCUGUUAGACCUGAUGCAGAACAUGCAGAAGAAGAGUGAAUGUGAGUUUGAAGAUCAGGACAUCCUACAAUGUGCAUGUCCUGAGAAGAUGCUUCUCUACCAGGGAUCUGGGAACAUGUGCUUGCACUUCUCUCUUCAUUGUCCCUUAAAGCAAAGCUGAGCAUUUUAACAUCUGAUGCGAAUGACCUGUGUGAAGUUGCACCCAGUUCACUAUCUGCAGGAACCCUGAAGGCUGCAUUCUGUCCAUAAACAAGCCCCUGAACUGCUUUCCAGUUCAUCCGUGAAGCAUCAGAACCAAAAUCUGCCCCUUUAAGCCUUUUUCCGGGCCUCUUGCUUGGAUCAGAAUAAGCACCUUUCAUGGCUUGCAUCUGAUGCAACAGAGCGUAAUUUUGCUGGUUAACAUCUGAAGGUACUGAAGUGUGCCAAUACAACCCAACAUCGCCACUAGAAGAUGCAGCAUUUGUAAGGGGAACAUGUACCAUCGGUGAGUUACAUGCUGUGGCGAUGUUUUCGCAUGGACUUCCUUCUAACAUAUGCUUUCGCAUGGGUUCUUGCCCCUGGAAUGCAAUGCCUGUCUUAGCAGCAACAUCCAACCCCUCAGAAGAUAGUUGUUGCAAGGAACUAUCCAUGACCGGAUGUUCGUCUCCAUAGAUGGCUUGUGGCGAUUUGACAGAAGAUGUACCAGACUCAGAUGGAGCAUUUUCUCCCUUUUGUUUUUGAUCAUCCACCUUCUGUGGGCGCCAAGGACCUGCAUUCCUGUUGUUACUUGAUAAAAUCACCGACUGAAGUAUAGCAGGAGUAAGCUUGUGAGGCUGGACGCCUGCUAGACGUUGAGCUGAUACAUUUGUCCAUACUUUAUGCAACAUUUUUGAGAAGCCAACUUGCUGAGGCAUCCCUGAUGUAGAAGGUUGUGAACCUGAUCCAGGUUCUACUACAGGGAGUUGCUGGCCUGAAUGUCCAGUACGAGAAAAGCCUGCAUCCAUUGGUUGGGAAUGAUCUGUCUGUGCAGAAUAAAAUGGUGAAGCAGGAGGUGCAUGAGUAUCAGCAGAGGAAGCAAGCCUGAAAGGUGGAAUUCUUCCAGCCAGAUUAGGCACUGAUGUCUGAAAAGGUUGAUCAGCUAAAACUCUGUCAUGAGAUUCAUUUGGCUGUCUAAGUAGAGGAACAUUUUUAAUGGAUGAAUUUACAUUGGCUUGACUGCCAAGAGAAACUUUUGCAGAUAACUCCAUUGUCUCAUUUCCAGAUGCUAUAGACAUGUGGUGUUGCUGCAACUGCUGCUGUAACUGGAAUCCCGCAUGAGAAAGAUCUAAAGCAGCUGUCGAUGAUGAGUUGACAUGACUAUAUGAUUGUGAGGUUUCCCUGCAUGUUUGUCCAGUUACACUGCAUCUAGUGUCCCAGUGUUCUAUUUUAGAUGCUUCAUGAGGCAGAGGUUGAACUGAAGCCGUAGAAGCUGACCAUGUUCGAUCUUUAUUUCUCGAUUCGUGGUCAAGUUGCUUACUACUAAACUCAUGUAAGGAAGUCUGAGAAGGCUGGUUUGAAACUGGUUGCCAUUGUGAUGGUGGACCCAAUCUUAAGCCAAAACCUUGUAAGGCAGAAGAGUGAACAAGUUGAGGACGAGAAGCAGAGAUAUCAGAAGCAGCUGCUUCGGGUACAUCAGAUGUAGCAAUAGCUUUGACAUCCCUUGACUGGUCCACCUUGUGAAGAAGCUCAAGCAUAUCCUGACUGCAAUAAAUCAGAUUGGUUUGACUAUUUAGAAAGAUACCUAAUAUAAGGAAUGGCCAAUACCACAGCCAGAAAUGGGCUCUCAUCCUGGCAAUGACAAGUUGCUUAUCCCCGAAAAAUUGGGAAAUGGAUAAAUGAAGACAUAAAGGAUGGUAAGUCUUCAAAUGACAUAUUGGAAGUUUUCAUACAAAAAUAUCAUUGAGAUCUGAUGCAUAAUUGAUAUAUUUAUCAAAUGAGCAACAUAAAAGUAAAAGAAGUGGAGCUAUAUUCAAUGCCAGUAAUAAGAUUCAUGCAUGUAGACAUCUGAAACGAGGAGUGAAGAGAUCAUAACAAUGUAAUUAAAUAGCAAUAUCUCAAGCUACCAGUUACCUUGUUUGACCAAUUCCUUUAUUAUGAGAAUUUUGAGCAGUUGAUCCAUCAAAGGAGGCAUACCCAGAAGAGUCAUGGCUUGGUACAGUACCUGUAGAUUGUAUGUCCUCUGCUCCUUUUGGACUUCUCUGUAAAUUAGUUAAGUUUCCCUGUAAAUGAAGAAGUGUCAUUAACACCUGAAAGAAAGAGGUUUGAUGAAGUAUAAAUGACAUCAGUUAUAAAAUCAACUAGCACAUUAAAUACAUCAGUACCUUUGCCAUGCCAAUGACAUUAUUCGAAACAGCCGGGCCGGCAAACUGCGAGUGCCCAAUAUAUCUUUGCUCCUGAUUUGAUCCUUGGAUCACUGAUCGAGGCAGACCUUGAGGGUAUGAUGCCUGCAAAGGGAGGAUAGAAGGUUGAACAUUCAUCCCCAUACUUCCAAUUUGAUGAUACUCGACUAUGUGGGACCCACGAGUUUGUUGACCAGACUGACAGAAUGAUUUUUGGCUGCCACUACCCAAAGCACGGGAGUCAUCUUCAGUUGACAAUGGGCUCUCCCUUGCAGCACCUCCACUACUGCCAUGCUGCCCAAGAUUUGAAUGGUUUGACCUAUAGACUUCAUUUGAAGCCACCUUUGAAUGUUCAUGCUUGCCAUCGUAGUUCUCAACCAAUUCUUUUCCAGCGUUAUCUCUGGUUGUUUCCCAAGCUUGUGAUCCACUGCUUUUAUUAUACAGGUUUCCUCCCAAAUUUUCAUCAUUUGCAGAAUUUACAUAGGAAUCAAGGGCAACAUGUUUUCCACGGUCAAUCUGUUGUCUAUUAAAUAGAUACUGAUUCAUUUCCUGAUUCAAUUUCAAAGUGCUCGAAUUCAUAACACUAGUUACAUUACCCAUACAGGAAGCAUCACUUCGCAUCUGGGGACUGCCAAUAUCAGAUUUCACAGACUCUGAUCCACCUGUCAAAGUCACUUGAUUUCCACCAACCUUCCACAUACUGCCAUCGCAACUCCUUUCAGUAUUCAUAAUUCUGUUUGUGUUAUUCCUUUGACCAUACUUAGCGCCAUCAUUACCCAGUGAAUGUUGGAUGUUCCAGCCAUCUGGCUUGUUACUUAAUUGACUAGCAGUAUUUGACAAAGGCAUGUUUUGCUGGUGAGUCCAAACACCGUGCAUGUUAUGAGACUUAGACUCCACUGUUGAAUAACAUGAAUUGCUUUCCAACUGCCCAUGUGUUUGCCCAGCCCCAACACCGUCAUUUGUGUGCAUUUGUGAUUGGAGGUCACCCUCAAGGGACUGCUUUUGAUUCUGAUUAUGAAAAGACUGCUUGUUCUGUGUUUCUCUAGUUGACCGCUGGAAGGACUCAUGGGAAGCUUCAGCUGGUACUCUAUCAUUUUGUUCAUAUGUAGAUGUAAAAGAAUGAUGAAAACCAGGGGCAGUAGAAAGGCUUGUUCUUGCAUCAGUAUUGUUAAACAAAGGCAAAGGUCUUGAAAUUAAAGAAGGUGUGUUCUGCAGGUUAUUGUCAUUCCAUGUUGCUUGCUGUUUCCCAUUGUCAUUAGAUAUAGCUGAAUGGUUUCCAAUAGAGGGUUCUGUUUUGUGAAAAGUCAAGCCACUCCAUUCUUCCUGAUGCCCCGUGUCACUACUAGAAGCCUGUACAGCCUCCUGCAUAAGGGCACUCCAACUGCCACUCUGGACAGAUGGAAAUGCACCACAAUAAUCAUUGUCCAAUGAAUUUCCUUGCAGAUAGCCCCCUGUGCAAGAGUUAACACUCUUUCCAAAAGAAAACCCCCAAUUGUCAUCAUCAUCAGUGCCAAACAAGAUCUUCUGUUCUGUCGGAUCUAAACUUGCUGCAUCAUGAGAAGGUCCUACUUGUGCUUCUGGUUUUUCAUGCAAGUCACCUGACAAAUCAGAUUGCUCCUGCAUACCUUGAAAAUUCUGGAGCUGAAAACGGCGCUGCAAAUGAUUUGGUUGUUGAAAAUUUCCUGAUGCAACACCACUACUUACACUCUGCACCAAAGCAUUCCCAAACAAACUUUUUUCUUGAAAGCUCUGUGUAGAAAUUGAUAUAUUAUCCUGCAAACCAGCUUGUUCAGCAAAACUCUGACCACUUUGAAAAGAUCUAAGCGGACCUGAAUGCAUAGACGCCUUUUCUGGUUGGUUCCCAAGUGUCUUAGUCAUCAUAUCCAUAUUGUCACUAGGCAUCCCUUGGAACUCAGAGUAUUGAUUCAUAGAACCUCUGCUGCUGGAGACUGGUAUGCCACGCAGAGACUGAUCAAGCUGCUGUGGGACAAACCCCAUCGCUUGAAUUGUUUGGCCUUGGUCAUUUGGAAACAUCAUACCAUUUGUCAAAUUUUGCAUGGCAGGAGAGCCACUUGGCUGUGUGCAGUUCAUGUUACCAGCAACAAACAUCUGAGGAAUGCCAGGUGAUUUGGACUCACCUCCCACAAAAUUAUUUGGCCAUACAUAGUUAGAUGCAUCAUUGAUGGGAAUUUCAUUAACAAGAGCAGGAAACUGAUUGAUAGCUGCUGGCUUUGCAGCAGAAGACAAUUGAUUGAGCAGACUCUGCUGCCUUGCCCCUUGAUCCAGCUGCUGAAGUUGCUGCUGUCUCUGAAGUUGUUGAAGCUUGUUGUACAUCAACUGUUGUUGCCACAACUGCAUGUUGUUAAAACCUGGGUGCUGCCUUAGAUGAGGUUGUAAUGUUCCUAGGAGGUGGCUCCUAACGAGCUGCUGUUGACUGCGACGAAAGUCAAAAUUUACAGGAGCCUGGGCAAACUCUGGUGUUUCUGAAUUUCUUAUAAGGCCUGAACUGUGUUGAGGAGCAUUCCCCUGCAGUGGAUUAAAAGUAGCUAAGCCUCUACAUAUAGAAUUAUGUCUAUCAGAAAAAGAGUUAUCCUCUAAAAACUUUGACUGAUCAGGCCUUGUCUGAGUAUCUUGAGAGCCAUGCAUAAAUCCUUUCAAACCUAACUGUUGGUCUCUAGGCUGACUGUUACCAAAAUAUGGACUAAGAUUUGUCUGAGUGAAAAUCACACCAAAAGGCUGUGAAGACAGAUUGGUAUUUCCUGUCUCAGAAUCUGAAGAUGAUAAACCAAUAAAAAAAAAAAUUCUUAAAACAACAUGAAGAAACAAGCUACUUCAUAACCAACUAAACAGGUAUGCUUUGCAGAAGGGCAAAAUAUCUAUUUACUUCUCUUUCAUUCAUUUAAGGACAGACCAACAAGAAAACACAGUUAUACAUGAUUACAGUUGUAUUAAAGAUGACCCACUUAUCAAGCAGCAGUAUGACCACAAUGUCGCUCAAAGUUUAAGGGUUGCAAUGAUUAGGGGUGGAAUCAGAUUCUAAUGGGGACAAAAGCAAGAGAGAAAUUAAUAGGCACAUACCUAUAGACUGAGCAGUGGAAAUUUUUGAAUUAACAUUCAGGGGUAUUUCGCCCUGGCUUUGAAUUCCAGCCUGCAAAUUGCUAUUGAAAUUUGGCCAACUCCCAUUUCCAAUUUCAGAUUGACGACUCUGGGAUGUUUGUCUUGCUCAAAGAAGUUGUGGACCUCUUCAGCAAUUUCAUUCCCAGGCAUAGAGAGUCCAGCCUUGACCAACCAAGCCUUAUAACUCAGAUUGUCUACAAAUUAAGCAUGCAGUAUAUGACAGGUGUCCUGACAGUAAGAUACUUCCUUUCUCUUAAGUGCACCCUCAGGAUGUCAACCCUGUGAAUAGAUUGAUUUAAAAAUGAAUAGAUAAUAUAACAAAACUCCUCUGAGCAAAGUUAUACGGCACAUAAAUCAGGUGGUGGCUCAGUAAUUAUGGAAGAUGAACAAAAGAAACAAAGAAUACAUGUAGUAAGUCAUGAAAUGGGCAUUAUGAUGUCACCGAACUUUUCAUGUAGCUGCAGCCAGAAAAAUACAAAUAGAAUAACUACUAAAGAAGAAGAAAUGACACUUGGAUACACUUAACAUUGUCCCUUCAUAUCAAGUGUUUCCUUACAACUUGUCAAAAAAAUAUCUCAUGGGCAUGAAAGUUAAGUCAUAGAAUAAAACUAAAAAACAAUAACUCGGUACUAGGAGGCUUGUAACAGUUUAAACUUAGAACAGUAAUUGCCAAGAGCAUUUAAUUUAGGUGAAAAUGGCUUAAAUAAAUUGGUAGCCUUUUCAUAAGGCAGAAUAUUUAUUUAACAUUUACAUAAAACAAUGAUAGCUUAAAGAAAAACUGUCAGAGGGCAUACAUAAAGAGACAGACACAAGAAUCUAGUACAAAAGGUGAGAACGAAGUACUCAUGCAACAAAACGGCGCACAGAUAAGAGGUUCAUAUGAAUCUGUAGAGGGAAAAAGAGCAGGUUAAUUAAUCUGCAAGAUUUAUCUGCCCAUUCUUUAGCUUUAAAAAGAAAAAAAAUAAUGGCAAACCCUUAAAUCCAUUAUCAGACCAUAUGAUGGAAUGACAGAAGUCUAGCAAAUCACAUAAUGUUCCAUUCUUAAAAACAAAAUUAAUAGCUUUCAUAUAAAAAAGGUCCUACCAAAUUAACAGCUUUCAUGUACAAAAAGGUUGGUCAAUGCUGAUCCUUGACGGAAGACAGUUUGAUUUUGUUGCUCUAAUCUUCAGCUCUUGAGAUAUGAUUUUGUGUUACCUCUGACACCUUUGAAGAUACUAAAAUGGACACCACACAGUUUUGAGAUAUUUUUUUCUUAAGACUAAUUCCUGAAAUGCUAGCACAAAAUAUGUUGGCUGGAGAGAUGCAGUUUAAAAUUACGUAAUAAUAUUAAAUAAUUCAUUCGUUCCACAGUGCAAGGCAACAAACCAAUGCAAGAAGAAGAUGAGCCAUAAGUUAUGAGGUGAGUUUGUGGGAAAUAAAGCCGAGAGACAAUAUUUUGACAAACAUGCUAGCCCCGGAGCUUAAAGAAUCAAACUCAGUCAAGAUGCUUAAGUUUCCAAAAAUUUAUACGUCUGCCUGAGAUUCCAUUCAUCAACACUUCAUCUACCCACUUAACAAGACAUCGUCAUCAAGAAUCAUGUCUCCCCACAUAAAAACAGCUUAUAUCAGUAACAAGUAAAGCUCAAAACGAGCUACCCAAAUCCUCAGAAAGAAAGAAAACCAUUAUAUGGUAAGUAGAACUUCAACCUCUCAUGCAUAGCUCUUUAAUGCAUCUAAAACCCGGGCUCCAAGAGCCACCCACAUGAUCAUUAGCCGCUACUAAUUUCCAAACCAAUUCUCGAGCAAGAAGUCCAAAACCCACAUAUAUACGUUCCACCUGGUGCAUCAACACCCGGGCAUCAAAAUCUCGGGCGUAUCUAAGCAUUGAAGACCCAAAAGAAAUACCUCUUUUUACCCCUC
rnacentral:lncRNA from 1 species